rnacentral:rRNA from 1 species
CGCGUAGGCGGGAUGGCAAGUCGGUCGUGAAAUCCUUCGGCUCAACCGAAGAACGUCGAUCGAUACUGCUGUUCUUGAGGAUUGCAGAGGAGACUGGAAUUCCCGGUGUAGCGGUGAAAUGUGUAGAGAUCGGGAGGAACACCGGUGGCGAAGGCGGGUCUCUGGGCAAUUCCUGACGCUGAGGCGCGAAAGCGUGGGGAGCAAACGGGAUUAGAUACCCCGGUAGUCCACGCUGUAAACGAUGACGACUAGGUGUGGGGGGGUUCAGGUCCCCUCCGUGCCGCAGCUAACGCAUUAAGUCGUCCGCCUGGGGAGUACGGCCGCAAGGUUGAA